rnacentral:rRNA from 1 species
AUUGAACGCUGGCGGCAGGCCUAACACAUGCAAGUCGAGCGGAUGACGGGAGCUUGCUCCUUGAUUCAGCGGCGGACGGGUGAGUAAUGCCUAGGAAUCUGCCUGGUAGUGGGGGACAACGUUUCUAAAGGAACGCUAAUACCGCAUACGUCCUACGGGAGCAAGCAGGGGACCUUCGGGCCUCGCGCUAUCAGAUGAGCCUCGGUCGGAUUAGCUAGUUGGUGGGGUAAUGGCUCACCAAGGCGACGAUCCGUAACUGGUCUGAGAGGAUGAUCAGUCACACUGGAACUGAGACACGGUCCAGACUCCUACGGGAGGCAGCAGUGGGGAAUAUUGGACAAUGGGCGAAAGCCUGAUCCAGCCAUGCCGCGUGUGUGAAGAAGGUCUUCGGAUUGUAAAGCACUUUAAGUUGGGAGGAAGGGCAGUAAGCUAAUACCUUGCUGUUUUGACGUUACCGACAGAAUAAGCACCGGCUAACUCUUUGCCAGCCGCCGCAGUAA